UGACAAGGGACUGUGAGCCUUCAUCACUCCUCAGUUGGAGAUCUAAUCCAGGACAGCAGGCUUCCGAAGACAUUCCAACCUGGAUCUCACUGAUGACCCAUACUAAAACCAUCACUAAGGCUGAAGUCUUCUGACAGCAGAAUAUCAAGCAAGGGGGAGAUCUGAAGAUACAGCUUUCCUUGAACUCAUUGACACCUCAAAUGG